UAACCUCUGCAGGGUGGCUGGCCCCCAGGCUGGGCUGCGUGAGUAUAUCUUUGAAAGGCUUAUCCUCAAGCAUGACUAAGAGC
rnacentral:pre_miRNA from 1 species